rnacentral:rRNA from 1 species
AUUGAACGCUGGCGGAAUGCUUUACACAUGCAAGUCGAACGGCAGCACGGACUUCGGUCUGGUGGCGAGUGGCGAACGGGUGAGUAAUACAUCGGAACGUGCCCGGACGUGGGGGAUAACUACUCGAAAGAGUGGCUAAUACCGCAUACGCACUGAGGUGGAAAGCGGGGGAUCGCAAGACCUCGCGCUAUUGGAGCAGCCGAUGUCCGAUUAGGUAGUUGGUGGGGUAAAGGCCUACCAAGCCUGCGAUCGGUAACUGGUCUGAGAGGACGACCAGUCACACUGGGACUGAGACACGGCCCAGACUCCUACGGGAGGCAGCAGUGGGGAAUUUUGGACAAUGGGCGCAAGCCUGAUCCAGCAAUGCCGCGUGUGUGAAGAAGGCCUUCGGGUUGUAAAGCACUUUUGGCGGGAGCGAAACGGCGUUUGCUAAUACCAGACGCUAAUGACGGUACCCGCAGAAUAAGCACCGGCUAACUACGUGCCAGCAGCCGCGGUAAACUCG